GACCGAAUGUAACAGCUAAGAAACCACCAUACUAUUGCAGCGGAACCAAGCAUGAAACGUAGCAUCAGUCUGUGCAGGUUGAGUCGCGGAUCCAAGAACGAAUUCCACCUUGUUCUUUGCAGAAAGAGCUGUAACAAAGGAUCUGUUCCAUGAAUGAUAGUUUGUAUUGUUGAGUACGGGUGAAACAAGGGAAAUGGCGGGGUUUUCAUUGGGGGUGAAGAUAAAGGUAUGAAUGUGGAGAAUCGUGGGUUUGGGUAUUGACUUCAGCGGUAGCCAUUCUAGGAGAAAAGAAGGAAACAAGAACAAGAUUGCAGAAAGAAUCAGAGAACAGUAGAAAUAGCUUCUGAUACCAUCAUAGAUUCAUAGCUCGGUAAAGAGAAAGGUAAAAAGGAAGAGAAGAGAGAGGCAAGAUAAGCCAGAGAAAAAGAAGGUAUUAUAGAUUGAUUG
rnacentral:lncRNA from 1 species